GAUGAAGAACGUAGCGAAAUGCGAUAAGUAAUGUGAAUUGCAGAAUUCAGUGAAUCAUCGAAUCUUUGAACGCACAUUGCGCCCUUUGGUAUUCCGAAGGGCAUAUCUGUUCGAGCGUCAGUAGACAUUCUCAAGUAUAGCUUGGUAUUGGGCUUUUUGUCUAAAUUCAGUAUUUUAGACUAGUCUUAAAACCAUCGGCGGCGAGUCGGUCGACCAUGGAGCAUAGUACAUUGUUGCUGCCUAUCGAGUUGUACCCGCGUGGCCGGAAACGCAAUUUAUUAUUGUUUGACCUCGGAUCAGAUAGGAAUACCCGCUGAACUUAAGCAUAUCAAUAAGCGGAGGA
rnacentral:misc_RNA from 1 species